rnacentral:rRNA from 1 species
CCUACGGGUGGCAGCAGUGAGGAAUAUUGGUCAAUGGACGAGAGCCUGAACCAGCCAAGUAGCGUGAGGGAUGACUGCCCUAUGGGUUGUAAACUUCUUUUAUAUGGGAAUAAAAUGUUCCACGUGUGGGAUUUUGUAUGUACCAUAUGAAUAAGGAUCGGCUAACUCCGUGCCAGCAGCCGCGGUAAUACGGAGGAUCCGAGCGUUAUCCGGAUUUAUUGGGUUUAAAGGGAGCGUAGGCGGAGUGUUAAGUCAGUUGUGAAAGUUGGCGGCUCAACCGGAACAUUGCAGUUGAAACUGGCAGUCUUGAGUACAGGAGAGGUAGGCGGAAUUCGUGGUGUAGCGGUGAAAUGCUUAGAUAUCACGAAGAACCCCGAUUGCGAAGGCAGUUCACUGGACUGCAACUGACACUGAGGCUCGAAGGUGCGGGUAUCAAACAGGAUUAGAUACCCUUGUAGUC